rnacentral:rRNA from 1 species
UACGGAGGGAGCUAGCGUUGUUCGGAAUUACUGGGCGUAAAGCGCCCGUAGGCGGCUUUGUAAGUUAGAGGUGAAAGCCCGGGGCUCAACCCCGGAAUUGCCUUUAAGACUGCAUCGCUUGAAUCCGGGAGAGGUGAGUGGAAUUCCGAGUGUAGAGGUGAAAUUCGUAGAUAUUCGGAAGAACACCAGUGGCGAAGGCGGCUCACUGGACCGGUAUUGACGCUGAGGUGCGAAAGCGUGGGGAGCAAACAGG